CCGCCUUUGGCUCAGGGUUCCGGGCAACCCGGAGGAAGUGGGGGCUGCGGGGCUGGCUCCGAGUGGCAGACUGGGGACGAGACGGUCGCUGCUGCCAGGCGUCCCAAGUCUGGACAGUUGCGUGGCUGGCACGGCCACACUUUGCGCAGAGUGGGGCGCGGGGCAGCGGCAGAGAGCGCCUGAGCAGGCCCGGGCAGCGGGCCGUCUGCGGACGGGACCUUCACCUGCCCCGGGCCGGGAGGGAGCGAUUCGCCCUGCGCGUAAAGGCGCCACGAGAACGUCUUUGGGCGCUGAAGCCAGUUGCACCUGUCUCCCCCUUGGAACAUUCUCGCUGGAACUUGUGGGUGCAGCUGUCAUUCAUCAUUCCCUUCCCUAAUUUGUCUCAAGGCUACCAGAUGCAUUCCAGUCAUUUGCCUGAAGUUGAAGGUGGAAAAAAGGAAGACUUGGCUGCGGCUAGUGCUGUGGCUUAACAGCAGUGCCAGCAUCUCAUAUGGGUGCCGGUUUGAGUCCCAGCUGCUCCACUUCUGAUCCAGCUCUCUGCUAUUGCCUGGGAAAGCAGUAGAGGAUGGCUCAAGUUCUUGGGCCCCUGUGCCCAUGUGGGAGACCCAGAAGAAGCCCCUGGCUGCUGGCUUCAUAUCGGCCCAGCUCCAGCCAUUGCAGCCAUUUGGGGAGUGAACCAGCAGAUAGAAGACCUCUCUCUCUGCCUCUGCCUCUCUGUAACUCUGCCUUUCAAAUAAAUAAAUAAAUUUUUUUAAAAGGAAAACA
rnacentral:lncRNA from 1 species